UUUGAUAGAAAAUUUUAUUUGGAUUUUAAUAAAAGAAGCAUUUUUAUACACAAAUGUUCAUUGCAUUUACAUCAUUUUACAAAUAAAAGUACAAAAAAUAGAAACUUUGACCAAAGGUUGACUUUGGUCAGUGGUUGACUUUUUGGUCAACCUUGACCAAAGUCAGCUCACAUGUUUUCUAAACCGUAAGACCUAUUCUAUUUCAGCCUCAUGUUGAUUCCAUUUCCUCUUUGCAUCUUCAUAAUUUUCUUGUUCGCCAAGAAAGAACCAAGUGGAAAUGUGCCAAAUGUCAAGCAUACAAAACCAUGUUCAUACAAAUAAGCAUUAUAUUCAAAUAGCCACAUACAUACAGGAAUGUCAUAACAACAUUCAUGCUAGUAGCUCACAGCAACAAUAACACAACAUCUUUGGUUUCGCUCAAGCAAUAUCAUUCCACCAUCAAAGUUGCACCAGGCCACACAACUGCCACAAAAUCUAUAGUAGGAAAAUCCAACCUCAACUUCAUAUACCAAGCUGCAACCCACCAUGAGCAAGUCUAAUGCACCAUGAUUCCAAAUGCCAAACAUCGUCCUGCAUCAACAAUGCACAACCAAUCAAGCAACAAUUCAAGCAAUGCGUCAUGAUAGUCAAACAUUAAUCA
rnacentral:lncRNA from 1 species